rnacentral:rRNA from 1 species
UUAACACAUGCAAGUCGAGGAGGCAGCAUGGUCUUAGCUUGCUAAGGCCGAUGGCGACCGGCGCACGGGUGAGUAACACGUAUCCAACCUGCCGUCUACUCUUGGACAGCCUUCUGAAAGGAAGAUUAAUACAAGAUGGCAUCAUGAGUCCGCAUGUUCACAUGAUUAAAGGUAUUCCGGUAGACGAUGGGGAUGCGUUCCAUUAGAUAGUAGGCGGGGUAACGGCCCACCUAGUCUUCGAUGGAUAGGGGUUCUGAGAGGAAGGUCCCCCACAUUGGAACUGAGACACGGUCCAAACUCCUACGGGAGGCAGCAGUGAGGAAUAUUGGUCAAUGGGCGCAGGCCUGAACCAGCCAAGUAGCGUGAAGGAUGACUGCCCUAUGGGUUGUAAACUUCUUUUAUAAAGGAAUAAAGUCGGGUAUGUAUACCCGUUUGCAUGUACUUUAUGAAUAAGGAUCGGCUAACUCCGUGCCAGCAGCCGCGGUAAUACGGAGGAUCCGAGCGUUAUCCGGAUUUAUUGGGUUUAAAGGGAGCGUAGAUGGAUGUUUAAGUCAGUUGUGAAAGUUUGCGGCUCAACCGUAAAAUUGCAGUUGAUACUGGAUAUCUUGAGUGCAGUUGAGGCAGGCGGAAUUCGUGGUGUAGCGGUGAAAUGCUUAGAUAUCACGAAGAACUCCGAUUGCGAAGGCAGCCUGCUAAG